rnacentral:rRNA from 1 species
GUAGUGUAUUGGACAACCAUGGCAUUCACGGGUUAUCGGGGGAUUAGGGUUCGAUUCCGGAGAGGGAGCCUGAGAAACGGCUACCACUUCUACGGAAGGCAGCAGGCGCGAAAAUUAUCCAAUCCUGAUUCAGGGAGGUAGUGAAACAAAUAAUGAACUAGGAUUUAUCCUGGGGUCACAAUGGGCUUGAUUUGCAAACUUUAUUUAGCGAGGAACAAUUGGAGGGCAAGUCUGGUGCCAGCAGCCGCGGUAAUUCCAGCUCCAAUAGUGUAUAUUAAUGUUCCUGCAGUUAUUCGAUGCUCGUAGUUGGAUUUCUGGAGGCUGAGAUCGGAGGGUAGCCAAGGUUACCGCUGAACUCUUCCUUCAUCCACCUGUUAACGUUGUCCGGGAUUCGUUUCUCGGCUUCGGGCUCAGGCAUAUACUUUUACCCUUUUUCUAUAUUUAUUGUUUUGAGUAAAUUAUAGUGUUUCAGGCAGGCGUGCGCCGGAAUACUUUAGCAUGGAAUAAUCGAAUUGGACCGUGUAUUCUUAUUGAAUUCUUCCUUAUUGUUGGUUCAAGGACACGGAAAUGGUUAAUAGGGAUAGUGUUUUUAUUAUCAGGGGAGGCAUUAGUAUUUAAUUUCCAGAGGUGAAAUUCUUUGAAAUAUUAAAGACUAACUUAUGCGAAAGCAUUUAUUAUUGCCAAUAAUGUUUCCAUUAAUCAUUGAACGAAAGUUAGGGGAUCAAAGACGAUCAGAUACCGUCCUAGUCUUAACCAUAAACGUUGCCGACUAGGGAUCGGAGGGCGUGCACAUUCCGCCUUCGGCACCUUACGAGAAAUCAAAGUCUUUUGGGUUCUGGGGGUAGUAUGGUCGCAAGGCUGAAACUUAAAGGAAUUGACGGAAGGGCACCACCAGGAGUGGAGCUUGCGGCUCAAUUUGACUCAACACGGGAAAUCUUACCAGGUCCAGACAUAGCGAGGAUUGACAGAUUGAUAGCUCUUUCUUGAUUCUAUGGGUAUUUUAUAUAUAUUUUGGUGGUGCAUGGCCGUUCUUAGUUGGUGGAGUGAUUUGUCUGGUUAAUUCCGUUAAACGAACGAGACCUCAGCCUGCUAAAUAGUUACCUGUCUUUUCAUUUUUUAUAAUUACGAGACUUGAUAACUUCUUAGAGGGACGUUGUGUGCAACCACAAGGAAGUUGAGGCAAUAACAGGUCUGUGAUGCCCUUAGAUGUCCUGGGCCGCACGCGUGCUA